rnacentral:lncRNA from 1 species
GGGGACAGUAGAGCAGGGAGAGUGCAAAUACUGAUUAUACCAGCCAGAAAUGGGCGUGGCUAAUCUGGCUCUGGAGGAUGUUUGGGGGGUUGGUAAUCAGAUGCCAGGGGGGGAGGGGAUGUCCAAAGCAGUUGUAAUUAAGUCCUUAGUUCUGACCACCAUAUGGCUACAUUGUUUCUCAUAUGACACAGUUUAAUUCACCAAGGCAGUUUUUCAACAAUCAGUUUCC